rnacentral:rRNA from 1 species
AACGAACGCUGGCGGCGUGCCUAACACAUGCAAGUCGAGCGCGAAAGGAGCAAUCCGAGUAGAGCGGCGCACGGGUGCGUAACACGUGGGUAAUCUGCCUCAGGGUUGGAGAUAACUUUUCGAAAGAAAAGCUAAUAUCCGGUAAGCUUACGAUGACUUCGGUCGUUGUGAGAAAAGUAGACCUCUAUUUAUAAGUUUACGCCCAGAGAUGAGCCCGCGGCCCAUCAGCUAGUUGGCGGGGUAACGGCCCACCAAGGCAACGACGUGUAGCUGGUCUGAGAGGACAGUCAGCAACACGUGAGCUGAGAGACGGACCAGACUCCUACGGGAGGCAUCAGUGGGGAAUUUUCCACAAUGAGCGGUAGCCUGAUGGAGCAACGGCGCGUGUGUGAUGAAGAUCUUCGGAUCGUAAAGCACUUUCGAUCGGGAAGAAAAACCUUUGGCUAACAUCCAGGGGCCUGACGGUACCGGGAGAAGAAGCACCGGCUAACUCUGUGCCAGCAGCCGCGGUAAGAC